rnacentral:rRNA from 1 species
UACAGAGGUCCCAAGCGUUGUUCGGAUUCAUUGGGCGUAAAGGGUGCGUAGGCGGCGCGGUAAGUCGGGUGUGAAAUCUCGGAGCUUAACUCCGAAACUGCAUUCGAUACUGCCGUGCUUGAGGACUGGAGAGGAGACUGGAAUUUACGGUGUAGCGGUGAAAUGCGUAGAUAUCGUAAGGAAGACCAGUGGCGAAGGCGGGGUCUCUGGACAGUUCCUGACGCUGAGGCACGAAGGCCAGGGGAGCAAACGGG